rnacentral:lncRNA from 1 species
UCCGGAUGUUGUUUCGACAAUGUGAGCAACAGUUGUCAUGUAGAUCGAUAGUCUGAUGUAUCUAAAGAGGGGUCGGCCGCCGAUACCAAGGUCGGCAGUCCAAGUGACGGCUGAUGUGGAGGUCAGUGGCCGAUGCAUAGAGUCGGCCAUGAUCAGGGUUCAGUCAUAUCUUUAGAUUAGGUACCAGGGUUCUACCUAUAACAUAUGCCCCUUGCUCCCUAGUCUGAGCAGGGGUCAGG